rnacentral:rRNA from 1 species
AUUGAACGCUGGCGGCAGGCCUAACACAUGCAAGUCGAGCGGAUGACGGGAGCUUGCUCCUUGAUUCAGCGGCGGACGGGUGAGUAAUGCCUAGGAAUCUGCCUGGUAGUGGGGGACAACGUUUCGAAAGGAACGCUAAUACCGCAUACGUCCUACGGGAGAAAGCAGGGGACCUUCGGCCUUGCGCUAUCAGAUGAGCCUAGGUCGGAUUAGCUUGUUGGUGAGGUAAUGGCCCACCAAGGCGACGAUCCGUAACUGGUCUGAGAGGAUGAUCAGUCACGCUGGAACUGAGACGCGGUCCAGACUCCUACGGGAGGCAGCAGUGGGGAAUAUUGGACAAUGGGCGAAAGCCUGAUCCAGCCAUGCCGCGUGUGUGAAGAAGGUCUUCGGAUUGUAAAGCACUUUAAGUUGGGAGGAAGGGUUGUAGAUUAAUACUCUGCAAUUUUGACGUUACCGACAGAAUAAGCACCGGCUAACUCUGUGCCAGCCGCCGCGGUAA